AUUGAACGCUGGCGGCAGGCCUAACACAUGCAAGUCGAGCGCGCGGCGCACGGGUGUGUAAUGUCUGGGAAACUGCCUGAUGGAGGGGGAUAACUACUGGAAACGGUAUCUAAUACCGCAUACCAUCAGAUGUGCCCAGAUGGGAUUAGCUAGUAGGUGGGGUAACGGCUCACCGAGGCGACGAUCCCUAGCUGGGCUGAGAGGAUGACCCGCCAAACUGGAAAUGAGACACGGUCCAGAAUCCUACGGGAGGCAGCAGGGGGGAAUAUUGCACAAGGGGAGCAAGCCUGAUGCAGCCAUGCCGCGUGUGUGAAGAAGGCCUUCGGGUUGUAAAGCACUUUCAGCGGGGAGGCGUUACCCGCAGAAGAAGCACCGGCUAACUCCGGGCCAGCAGCCGCGGUAAUUC
rnacentral:rRNA from 1 species